AUGACCUAAAUACCGGGGGGGAGGAAGGGGUUCAAUCGUCUCUAUUUAGUUAUGCGAUGACGUGGGAUUAGGCAAAUGAUACCAUGGAUUCAUCCUGGCUAGAAUAUAUUAAAAUGAGCGAAGCAAUCUGACAAGGCUUGCACAAAAGACCGAGAUGUUUCUUGGGUCUAGAUAGUUAGCUCGGACAGAUUUAUUUAAGAAAAGUUGGGAGGAGGGUUCAAUGAUUUUUAAUUACGGCUAUUGAAAUAUCGAGAAAGAGGAUAGCUUAGUUUCGAUAUUAAAAACAAUCUUGUAAGAUGCAGUGUGGGUCAGAUUAGGAUAAUUCACUUAAGUCAAGUUUGAUUGUUGGCUUGGUAUACUGGCUCGAUAAUUGAAUUUAUCGAUGGAGAAUGGCUGGAAUAUCAACCCUCUGGAUACCGAUGGCUCGGGCUAAACCAUAACCGUAACGGGGCUAUAUCGAUCCGCAUCUUACAUCCUUAUGCACCAUUUACAUGUCACGAUUUUUCGAAAAAUAUAAAUAAAGUUUGGAAAUUGAGUGGACAUGCGUCAGAAGUGACGAAAAAUACAGGUAUCGCACGAUCCAACUAGCGAAGAAAAGGUCGAAAUCAAAUAACGUUAAAUCGCUUUGAUGAUCUAAAUCUAGCUGAUCCUAGGUGUCAUCAAAUAGGAUAUAUAACUUGGCCAACCCGCAAAUAAACUUUGCCAAUCGAUCACCGACCCGAUCCGCCUCUUCGGCAAGAUACAAAGGAUGUCCUAAAGUGGACCUAACCUCUAAUCAAAAUCCCCUCGAAACCUAACCUCAAAGGAAGGCCGAGAGGGAGCAAUUGGAUGGAUGCGGCGCGCGCGUUCCGCGAUCCAAGUGCCAUCAAACUGUCAACCCAAUAGCCUCAACCUCGAAAAAGAAUUUUCACGUGGAUAUUUGGCCGCCAUUUCGCGACUCGAUGACGGGAUUCGAACCAAGAAUUAAAUUUGCAUUCGUGAAUCGAUUUCUUUCGAAAGCGGGUAUACACAGAGAUGUAUAUACGUAGAUGUACGUAUCGUGGUGAAAACCAAGUGGCCACAACUUCGAUCAACGAUCGUCUCCCCCUCCUAGGUUAAUUAUACGCGAUUCGUUUCAGAAUUAGACGAGCCACCGAGUUUAUAACGCGGAAGGAAAGCACCACCACGGUGAGUCUGGCUAAUAAUAAGCGACAUUUAUACGGAAUGAGAGUCAGUAGCUUCGACCAAGUAGCUCGCGUUCCACUGAAUGUGUAUAUUCGUCCAGUCACAAAUCGUUGGAAUAACUCCUCGAUAAGAUACUUUCGAUUGUAUUCGUUAGAGGAGGGGGAGUUUGAAUCUACUCGAAUCGGGGAUUUCGUAUAUAUAUAUAUAUAUAUAUAUGGAAUUUAAAUCUUUCUCCAUCGAAAUGGUAAAUUCUUUUUUAUGUCUUGCAACUUGCGAAUUAUUGUAAAAAUUGAUACGAUCGAGGUAACCGUUCACGCUUUCAUGGGGUAUCGUUGAUAUCGUCGACUUAACCUCUUCCUUCCUCCGUUCUGAAAAUAUUAAUACGAUCGCAAUAACAAUUCAAUUUAAUUCCCUUUCCGUCGAAAGUAUCGACGUUCCUAAAAUUAAUACACGCUGAAGAAUACGAUACAAAUAAUUGAUGAGAUCCAGAGAAGCACGAACUUUAUAAUAAUCCCUUUAUCCUUGCUCGAUAUUUCUCAACAAUUUUCUCGAUUCCCUUUGAGAACCAAAACUGAGAACAAACCAAACGAAAAAAGAAAUCGACGUAACGUGAUUUCUCGAGAGCCGAACUGUUGAGAACUUGUUUAAAGCUGUUGGCGCGUUCGUUACGCGUUUUUCUCGAGAUGGAAAAACCAACGUUCUUGGACGAAAAGGGACAAAAAGCUGAGAAGAAGAAAGAAAGAGAGAGAGAGAAAGAAAACGUGACAGGCCUGGGAUGGAUAAAGCUUAACGUAACGUAACGCAACGUAAAUUCGUUGGCGGGAAGAAGAAUGGAGGAGAAGGAACAACAGUCGGUUGAUAAAAGCGCGACGUAGGAAAGGUGUUACGAUUAAAAAACUUUUUUUUUUUUCGCCGUGCGAAUAAAAGCCGCGUGUGGAGCCGAGCGAAGUUUAAACAGGAACAAAAAGCUGGUUGUACACCGGGAGAAAAAUAUCCACUUUAAUGCGGGCCGGGGGAAAAUUCGAUACACGGGGGCAGGGGGAGGAAAUGCCGUGGAAAAAAUCAUAUCGUGGAAAAAAAAAGGGGGAUGGGAAUAAUGAAGCUACGUUUUCAUUUCUCUUUUCUUUUUUCCUCCCUCCUCCUUUUUUUCUUUUUUGUUUACUCUCGAAAUAUUCGAGUGUUUCUUCCCAAUCGAGGAAGAAAAUUGUCCUUUAAAUUUUUAAGUGUUGAAGUAGAAAGGGUAUUAUUGAGUAUUAUACGUGCGUGUGAGGGAGGAGGGGAGGGGACGAAUAUAAAAACGAACGAAUAUAAAAUAUUCGAUUUCGCGCGCUGUUGGAGAAAUUAUUUUUCGAAAAAAGAAAGAAACGAGUUUUUCACGGUAAUUGGUUCGAUCGUAGAGUUAUCUAUUGAUGUUUCGAUCUUUUUUUUUUUUUUUUUUUGGUUGGAAAACGAAUUUUUCGUUCGUGAUGGCAGCGACAAUUUAAUGGAACUCGUUAAAAAACGCAAUGAAAUUAUUAAUGGGGGAAAAUUUGAAAUUGUAUUCUAUGAAAUUUUGUUCCUUUCGUCUCAAUAUCAAUGUCGUGUAGAAUAUUUUUUCAGAACUUUUCGAAAUAAUUUGUGAUCAAAAGUUGUUUCUAUUUUUUAUUAAAAAAUGAAUUUUCUGUACGCUGAUUUAAUGCAAGUAAUUAAAAGACGCAAUAAAAAAUUUUCAUCUUUCUUCCUUUCAUUUUAAUACAUGUCGUGAAGAAUAUUUUUGUAGAGAUGGUCUGUGACCAAGAGUUGUCUCGAUGUUUCGAUUUUUGAUUGAAAAACGAAUUUUCUGUUCGCUGAUAAUUUAAUGAAAAUGGUUGAAAAAAUGUAAUGAAAAAAUUUUCAUCUUUCUUCUUCUUAUUUUAAUACAUGUCGUGAAGAAUAUUUUUGUAGAGAUGGCCUGUGAUCAAGAGUUGUCUCAAUGUUUCGAUUUUUGAUUGAAAAACGAAUUUUCUGUUCGCUGAUAAUUUAAUGAAAAUGGUUGAAAAAAAUGUAAUGAAAAAAUUUUCAUCUUUCUUCUUCUUAUUUUAAUACAUAUAAUUCAUCGUGAAAAAUAUUUUUCCAGAGAUGGCCUGUGAUCAAGAAUUGUCUAGAUGUUUCGAUUUUUGAUUUUUGAAAAACGAAUUUUCAGUUCAAGAAAAUUACUAAUUUAAUGGAAAUGGUUAAAAGAGGCAAUGAAACUAUUAAUGACAAAAUUUGAAAUUGCAAAAUUUUCUUCCUCUCUUCUGAAAUACAAUUCAGAAUAUUUUUCCAAAGUUUCACGAGAUGUCCCACGACAAAUUUAUAUGGAGUUAUAGCAUUCUCUGUAUAUAUAGUUCAUACAGAGAUGUAAAUUAUUCAAGGGUGGCGAUAUCGAAAAGGACGAAGUCUAAUCUCACAAAGAGGAUUUCUGUACAAGGCUAUCGAUUGCGCGCAAACUCGCACUGUAUCACUUUCAAAUUCGAACGAAUCAUCGUUUUAUCUUCAAAAUAUUACAUAUAUCAUCCUCAAAAAAAAAAAAAAAAAAAAAAAAUAUCCCCUACUAAAUUUCAGAAUUUCCAUUUUCGAGAAUAUCCUUCAAUCUCUCCUUCGCAUCUUUAUCAUCGAAAAUUGUUUCCCUCUUUUUCUUCGAAAUGACCCGAUAUCGAGAAUCCAUUAAAAUAUGUAUAUAUCUCGGAUUUGGCUCGAGCUAUAAAUAAGAAUGUCUCAAUUCGGGUAACAUGGAGAAAGACACGAUAUCAAUCGAUAUCUCCCCUACUUAAUAAUAAUGCUUCGAUUCGUAAUGCUCCCCUUCACCAAUUGCACGCUUUGGGAAAUGUCAUGAAGCUAAUAGCCUCGUGCUGACAUUUCUUAUAAUAAAAAUCCACGCAUCUAUCAAAAGAUCGAUCGACCGUGACGUCACGAUAGAUCGAAGAUCCUCGAAAAAGAAGAUGGUAAAUUCUCCUCGAGGAAAUUUCUCAUAACUGUGUGAAACAAAAAAGAAGAAAAAAAAAAAACGAACGACACUUCAAUAUCCAUUUUUCGAACGAUUCGAGUUGAUUUCGCUUCGAUUCGAAUUCGCGUCGAAAAUUCACGAUUCGGUUUUUUAUCAGAGCCUCGAUAACGAAGAGAGCUCGAAACCAAUGUCUCCCGACACUUUGUAACGCGCUUUGCCGGAUCGUUGAAUAUUUUCCAUUUUUCGCCAGAAUCCAUUCUUCCUUUUUUUUUUCUUUCUUUUUCCGGAAAUCGAGUUUACUUUACUUUAUCCAAUGAGCGUCCCCAAUAAUGGUCUUCCUCCGCUUUUCCAUUGGGAAAUUUGUUUCGUCGCGCGUCAAUCUUGCGACAGAGGAUUGGGAUUUGAUUUGAUUCGCCGGUGAUUGGCCCCCAGUCAAAGUGGAGUAGCAGCUUCCAUGCGUAUUUUUUAACGAAAGGCAAUUUCAAUUUCGAAUUUUUUCCUCCCUCUCUAUCUCUCUCUCUUUCUCUGUUCGAAACGCGUUAUAAAUAAGAGAGAGAAAAAAAUCUGAAAGGCCGAGCGUUGAUUGAAAAAAAAAAGAAAGAAGGAAAGAAUGUCAAAGUUGGAUCUCGAUUAUAAGGCGAGAAGAAAAUUUAAGGGAAGGCUCGGUUUUUUUCCCCCUUUUUUUUUUCACACGAUUAAGCUUUCCGUCAUCCAUCCCUCGAGGAUAUCGCGUAAGAGAUCGCGACACCGUGAUAUCGAACCCCCGAGAAGGGUAGAAGAGGAGCCCCUCGUCUUUUUUACAUACUAAUGGGCGGAUAUCACCGAAUUUCGUUCCGUACACCACCCUGUUACCGUAUAAAUUAUCUUACUCCUCGAAAAUCAACUCGAGCACCGUGUAACGGUCGAUCGUUUCAUCGAUAAACAAACGAGCACCGGCUAAUGGCGACGCUCCCCAGAGGGUUCUUUUCUUCCCUUCGAGGGGGGACUAGCUCGAGAGAUAGCUCUAUUGAAAUUCUCUUCAUGAAGGGAAUUUUCCUUUUUGGAUUCCUCUUUGGAAAGUUUGAUCCCUGAUGACGUGGAAAUUUUUUCUUAACUGAAGUUUAAAGGAUCUUAAAUAAACUUUAAAUAAAGGUAUCGACUAAAAUUCGUUUAAGAUUUAAUUUUUUAUAAAUUUCAAGCUCACUUUCAUUUUUGGAAAUUAUUAAAUUUGUUAAAAUAAUUUGAAUUAAAAAUAUGAUAUCCAAGGUUUAUAAUUUUAAAUUGUUCGUUUACUUUAAAAAUUAUAAAAAAUCUUUAAAUUGUUAUAAAUUAGGUUUCUAAUAAAAAUAUUCAUCCUUUGGGUAAAUAAAAUUUUAAAUUUACUACUCGAUCUUUUCCACGAAAGAUUUCAAAGAAAGAUUUUUUUAUUAGAUUAAAGUUUUCAAUCUAGAAACACUUUCCAAUAUUUCUACUUAAAUGGGCGAAUUUCUACACUCUUUAAAACAAUUUCCAAUUAAAAAAAUUAUUUUAAAUUCACUUUUAAACCCUUCUUCAAAUUUAUCCUCAAGGAUUUUAAAUAAACCUUAAAUAAAGAUAUCGACUAAAAUUCGUUUAAGAUUUAAUUUUUUAUAAAUUUCAAUCUCACUUUCACUUUUGGAAAUUAUUAAAUUUGUUAAAAUAAUUUGAAUUAAAAAUAUGAUACCCAAGGUUUAUAAUUUUAAAGUGUUCGUUUACUUAAAAACUUUACUUAAAAAUUGUAUAAAAAAUCUUUAAAUUGUUAUAAAUUAGGUUUCUAAUAAAAAUAUUCAUCCUUUGGAUAAAUAAAA